rnacentral:rRNA from 1 species
GACGAACGCUGGCGGCGUGCUUAACACAUGCAAGUCGAACGGAAAGGCCUGCUUUCCCUUGUGGAUUGCGGGUACUCGAGUGGCGAACGGGUGAGUAACACGUGAGUGAUCUGCCCCCAACUUGGGUAUAAGCCUGGGAAACUGGGUCUAAUUCCCGAUAGGACUGCAGGGUGGUGCCUGUGGUGGAAAACGAUUUUCUAGUGGUUGGGGAUGAGCUCGCGGCCUAUCAGCUUGUUGGUGGGGUAAUGGCCUACCAAGGCGGCGACGGGUAGCCGGCCUGGGAGGGUGGACGGCCAAAUUGGGACUGAGACACGGCCCAGACUGCUACGGGAGGCAGCAGUGGGGAAUAUUGCACAAUGGGCGGAAGCCUGAUGCAGCGCCGCCGCGUGGGGGAUGACGGCAUUCGGGUUGUAAACUCCUUUCGACCGCGAGGAAGCCACCUGGUUGGAAGGGUGGUGACGGUAGUGGUAGAAGAAGCGCCGGCUAACUACGUG